rnacentral:lncRNA from 1 species
ACAUAUUGUUUCAGCAAUCUCAUCAGUAUCAGACUCUCCUUUCUUUCAUUUAUCACUAGGGCCCUGUCCUGAUCGGUCACUUUUCUGAGCCGGGAUCAAUAAGUGGAAGUCAUAUCUUUUGCAAAAUUUCAAAUUUAAUAUCCUUGUUGUUCUUACCCACCUGCAUUUGGAAAGAAAACUUUUACUAUUGGAUUAUCACAGCUUAAGAAAUUUAUAUGUCUCGUGAUAAUAUUUUUUUUCUCUUGAUGCCAAUGACCAGUGACUAAUACUACUGGCGCCUAAAUAUGGCAAUUGAGCUUGCUCCUGCUAUAAUUCAAGGGCCCAUCAGCAAAAAUGCCUCGAGUAGUUAAACGGGCAGGAGAUAAUAACAGAAUAAUUAUGUGCACGGGUGAACCUUAUACUUAUCCUACAUUUCUUAUAUAUUAUUGUUAUUUUGUAGUUUAUGUUAUUUUAUAUUAUUUUAUUAUGAGUCAAUUGAUCGUACUAAUAUAUCGUCUCUUGUUGUUUUCUUGAGUUGAAGGUCUCCUGGAAACAAACUCUCUGCCCUUCGGGGCAGGAGUAAGGUCUGCACACAUAUUAUCCUCCCCAGACCUCCCUUGUAAAACUAUAUUGGGCCGUUGUUGUUGUUGAAACUUAUACUUAUUUACCUGGGCUAGCGCCCAAAAAUUAAUGUCACGAAAGUUUAUUGAAUGGCAGAUAAAGCUUUCUAGUUACACGAUGAUAAUGCAAAAAGUACGUCAAAUGAUUUCCGAUAAAUGAAACUUUUGAAAUUAAAUAAUUCCACCAAUAUAGACUUCGUCGAAUAUAUGUACGAAAUGGAAAAGACCAUUGAAACAAAGCUCAACAGUGAAAUACUACGUAUUACCCAUGUUUUGCGUCUGUUUCUAGAAAGUGAUAGAAGAAAACUAUGUUAUUGUUAUACCGAGCACUUCCAGUGCUAUAAUCUCAAAUGGCAUGUAAAACUUUUUUUAAUUACACGAUGAUAAUGCCAAAGAAAAUUUCACAUAAUACUCCAGGAAGAACUGAUUAUUAGCUAAAGCAUAUUAAAUUUUUUUCAAGAAUGGCCUGAUCCAAGCUAAUAUUACCUUCAAGUGCACCUAGGCGGUGUUUGAUAUGGAUGUAGCAAAAUUUACCUUAAUUUUGUCAAUCCAAACACGAUCUAUAACUUGACAGUUCUCUCAACAAUACAUCAUCAAUAUGCCAUGAAAUUUCAAUAACUUGUGAUGCAUGGAACAUUUUGCCUAUAAAAAUAAACACACUUCUCCGAGCUAAAGACUUGUGGUGAAGACUUUUUGAGAAUGAAAAGAGUUGCAAUUUCUUACCAGGGCACUGUUAACCUGCAAAUAUAGAAACACGGAGCAGGGACUAAAAAGAGUAAAACAUAGCAGUCAAUAUAGAAAAUUUCAGCAGUACUAAAUCUCACCUUCGGAGAACAGCAGGAGGAAGAUUUGAAACAGAGUGAGGCGAGAGUCCACAAUAACCACAAACGCAUAGGGAUGGAUGGCUAAGCACACACCGUACUGAGAAAAGGUAGGAUGCUG